AUAGCAAAUAUAAAACUAAAAUUCCUUUUGCAUAAGGAUUAAUCAAAAAUAUGAAACUCUUCUAUUAAAGAAAAUCCCCCAAUUAGAACAAUAGCAUCUGUAUGUUAAAUAGGCUUCAAAUAUGUCUCUAAGCGAAAUACAAUUACGGUGAUUGAUAACUUUUUAAGUAAUAAACAUUACGGACAACCUUAACCCAUGGGGCAACAUGUAAGAAUACACAUUAAUCCUAGGACUAGAAAUAACCCAGCUAUCGAUUUAUAAUAAAACAUUACAAAGCUAAAUUCCGCCCCAGAUUAUUUAUACUGGUAAACAGCCAUCAUUAAAAAAUAUGAUUUAAGUGAGUAAGACUAAAUUCUAAAAUCCUAAUUAAAACUCGGCAAAUCGCAUACUAAUGUUUAAUAAAAACAUUGCAAUACCCCUGUGUUGUAAAUCUCCUGCCCAAUGAUAAAUUAAAUGGCCGCAGUAAUCUGACUGUGCAAAGGUAGCGUAAUCAUUUGUUUAAUAAUUUUAAACUAGAAUGAAAGGAAUAAAGUAUGCUAACUAUUAAUUUUGCUGGUCCAUAAAUCCUUACUUAAGUGCAAAAACUUAAAUUAACUAUAUAAACGAGAAGACCCUAGGAACUUGAAUAUUUCUAUUGGGACAAUAUAAAUCCAUAUUCGCUCAUCAAGCAUCAAAAUUAAACUAAAAAAGUUACCCUAGGGAUAACAGCACAAUAGCUACUAAGAGCCCUAAUCUAAAUAGCUGAUUAUGACCUCGAUGUUGAAUCAUUCACAUGAUAUAACUUGCAGAAGAUUUAUGUGCGCGUCUGUUCGACGAUUGUAUAGUACGUGAUUUGAGUUUAAACCGUCGUAAGACAGGUUGGAUUCUCUUUUAUACUUAAUAUUUUUAGCCAAAUUCAGUACGAAAGGACCAAAACGGCUAAUUAAACAAUUAUGAUAAAAUUUUAUAUACUUAUCAUUACUGUCUUGUGGCUCGCUUUUUCUAUAUUUCAAGAACACUUAUGAUUA
rnacentral:rRNA from 1 species